AGAAAUUGUGGAAUUUAGGUUUUGAGAAAAAAAUGAUAAUAAUAGGAAUUUAUAUUAUUUGAGGUUAUUUAGAAAUAAUAUUAUGGUUAGGUAUUUAAUUAUGAAUUUAAAAAUUUAAAUUUAAAACCACAUAAGCAAUAUUUAGUUAAGAUAUAAUACAUAAAUAAUUUUUUUUAUGUAUGUGUUGAAAAAAAAAAAGAGAGAAGGUAGAAGGAACAAAAAAAAGGGGGUGGAAGGUUGUUGUUUCUAAGUCCCACAUUGGUUAGAUGAGGGAAGAGAAGAGGUGCCUUCAUGUAUAAAAAGGAGGGGGUGUGUGCAUUAGGAAGCAUGAGAGGCUAAGAUGCAAUUUAGAGAAAAUUGCAACUUUUGGCCCAAAGGUUUGAAUAAUUAAAUUCAAACCUAUAGUUUUUUUUAAUAUAAUUUUGGGACUCACAAUCCCAUUUUUAUAUUAUUUUUCUCUCUUCCUCUCACGUUGCUCGGCGUUUUCUCGCAAGGGGGGAUUAUUUUCUUUUUCUUCAGGUAUGUUCUAACUUUCCUGUUUAGAUUAGCAUUUAAAAAUUUAUUUAAUUACAAAAUUAAUUUUAUAGUUAUUUUCUAAAUAAUAUUAGCUUUCUAGUGAUAUGAUUAUUUUGUAGGAUAGAGUAAAUAUUUUGAUUAGGAUUUUUCUAUAGGAUAGUUAAUCUGAUGAUAUGAUGGAUUAAAAAUAUAGGUUAAAAUUCUUAGGGAUAUAAUAAAUAUUAUAGAAUAUUUUCUUGAGGUUGAAACUCAUGUUUAAGAAUUUUUGAGUUAAAAUCUAGAUCUAUAUGGUUGAAUUUAUGUGGAAUCUGAGACGUAGGGAUAAACCUAUGAUUAUUAAAUAUUUAUUUAAGUAUGAAUAGGUAUUUUUGAGGUUAUAGAAAGGUGAUUUGAGGCUUCAGGAUAAUUCUAAAAUUUUUAAUUUAUUUUUGGAUGAAUUUUUAGAAUAUAGAAGGAUGAAAUUGUGAUACUAGAAGUGAAUUGAGGAUAAAAAAAAUAGUUCAUUAGGGUACGAGAAUUUUAGAAAAGAAUUUGGGAAGUUAAAUGAGGCAUAAAUCUUAAAUUAGUGUUAAUAUGGACUAUAGAUCUAAGACUUUCUAACUCUUUAAAUUAGAGUUAUUUAUUUUAAUGUAAAAUUAAUAUAUAGUAUUGUGAAAUAAUUAUGUAGAUUAUAUUGACAAAGAUAGUGGUGAAAAAGGAGUUGUGAAGGGGAACUUGUUAUUCAAGACACAAGGAGCGAGUCCGGCCGAGAAAGCACCAGAGGUGUAACUGUGGUGUAUGAGACACCAUCUUUUACGUUGCCUCUUAUUUUAGAUUAUACAAUGUAUCUUGUGCCAACUUAGGACAUAUCUUCUUUGUGAAGCAUGUAAACUCUAAUCCUUUUUAUUAAAAGUAUUUAUAUGACCAAGAGGAUUAUGUCUGUCCCUCUUGAUUUAUGAUCU